rnacentral:rRNA from 1 species
GUCGUGAGACAGUUCGGUUUAUAUCCGGUACGGACGUUAGGAAAUUUGAGAAGAUCCACCCUUAGUACGAGAGGACCGGGGCGGACGAACCUCUGGUGUAUCGAUUGUGGCCACCUGCUGCAUUGUCGAGUAGCUACGUUCGGAAUAGAUAAGCGCUGAAAGCAUAUUAAGCACGAAACUAACUUCAAGAUAAGAUUUCCCUAUGAGGACACUGAAAGAAUAUCAGUUUGAUAGGCGCAAGGUGUAAGCAUGGCAACAUGUGUAGCUGAAGCGUACUAAUAGUCCCAUCGCCUUUUUA